CCCAAGCGGACGCUGCGGUUUCAUUUGGAGCAGAGAGCAUGGCUACAAGAGGGGGCGUUUUCCCCGUGCUGCUUGGAAACAAUGUGUCUCUGUGGUCUGUGUAGUCUCUGACCUCACAAAUCUCAGUAGCACAACAAUAAAAAAGAAGAGUGACCAUAAGUGUAGCCAUUAGUGGGCACUUACUGUAUGCCUGAGGCUGUGCUCAGGGGCUCACGGCACCUGUUCUCCAAUAAGGAAACACCGGGGCUCUGGCAGGAUUAAGUCCGUUCCUUCGGAGACCAGCAGGUUGAAGGAGAGACCGGGACUCAAACCCCGGCCUGUGGGCCCCAGUCAGCCCCACACUGGACUGUGGGAGAAGACCCGAAUAUGCUGUCAACACACCUGGUUCUAGUCAGACCACGUUCCUGCUCUGCUCCAAAGCCUCCAGGCACCUCAUGUGAAGAAACCUGUGUGCUUAUCAGUUCACGUAGCAGGGAAAGGGGCUUUGGAAAUACUUAGAUCCUGACUCCGUGGGACUCUGGGAGAAGUCCACUCCUCUCUGACCCUCAGUCUCUUCAUCUGCAAAAUGGGGAUCUUAUUCUUAUCUUGUGGAGCUAACGUGAAGUUCAGACACUCUGGGAGCACCCGCUGUGUGCCAGGCCCGGCGGUUGACAGAGGCAUCGCGCACCUGAUCACCGACAUCACUUCCGGGGCACUGCUCUGUCCCAGGCACCGGUCAGAGAGCGGUCGGUCUGAUUUAAUCGAGCCCCGCCCCCUCCGGAAGCAGGCUCUCGUUACCCCCACUUGUUCUGUGGGCUGUAGCUAAGAACAGCAGCAAGAACUCCGCAGCCCAUCCAAUAUCCAGCCCAUUCCCAACUUGCCCCAAAUGAAGGUGUGAGGAGUUGA